rnacentral:rRNA from 1 species
GACGAACGCUGGCGGCGUGCUUAACACAUGCAAGUCGAACGAAGAGCGAUGGAAGCUUGCUUCUAUCAAUCUUAGUGGCGAACGGGUGAGUAACGCGUAAUCAACCUGCCCUUCAGAGGGGGACAACAGUUGGAAACGACUGCUAAUACCGCAUACGAUCUAACCUCGGCAUCGAGGAUAGAUGAAAGGUGGCCUCUAUUUAUAAGCUAUCACUGAAGGAGGGGAUUGCGUCUGAUUAGCUAGUUGGAGGGGUAACGGCCCACCAAGGCGAUGAUCAGUAGCCGGUCUGAGAGGAUGAACGGCCACAUUGGGACUGAGACACGGCCCAGACUCCUACGGGAGGCAGCAGUGGGGAAUCUUCCGCAAUGGACGAAAGUCUGACGGAGCAACGCCGCGUGAGUGAUGACGGCCUUCGGGUUGUGAAGCUCUGUUAAUCGGGACGAAAGGCCUUCUUGCGAAUAGUUAGAAGGAUUGACGGUACCGGAAUAGAAAGCCAUGGCUAACUACGUGCCAGCAGCCGCGGUAAU